CGACUGUAAAUGGCUAAAUGCUAAAUGUGAAAUGCCUGUAAGACGUAAGUGUAAGGUCGCUUCCAUAAGCCACAGCGAACGAGACGUGUGUCAACUUUGUAUGCGAGUGUAUUACCAGUAUCACGUUGUGAUUUUGGCCUCCUGAAGCUGUAAAAUUUGUUUUCUACAUUGUAGACUUACAAGAAUAAAUUACUAACUCUGCAGUGUGUGUUUCUUCCAGCAUUUCACGAGUUAAUGCAUGAUAUAUUACUAUAGAGAGUAGCAAUUUAUAGUUAGUUUUCUACAGCAUCCGCAAUGAAUAAAGUGAAUCGUUCUUGAUGUUUGAAUUUUUUAAAAUAUCAGUACAUUUGUAUUACAUGAUCACAAAUGACUGUGAUUAUGCGAAAGGAAUCGCAGCUACGUGUCCUGUGGUUCAGUCUCACUGAACUGAGAACACCUUGCAAAGUAACCAACUGUUUCCCAAGCAAACAUACCGUAUUUGUUGGUACCUGCGGAUUAUGUUAAUGUGUAGUUUCACUAAUAUACCAUAGUGCCGGGCAUUGAAUAUAUCACCAAAAGGAUUCAAUUUCCUCGCAGUUUGCGGUGCUAAAUCGUCGGAAAAAAGUGGCAUCGGUGGCUAAACAUUCUACCAAAACAAGCGUUAAAACUAUAGUUAUGAGUUCACAGACAACAAAGAACCACUGAAUAUUGUGCUCAAGUUUGCAACAGCAUAAAAACAAGUUUCAGUGUGUAUGUUGUUGCAUCUGGUACUGGUGAAGCAAUUAUGGAGGCCUCAACCCUCGACGAAUCAAUUACUUCAACUGCUUUUGUGGUGAAUGAAGAUUCUGCUGCUGGACCUGUUGUCAGUGAUUGUUUCAUUUUCUUGUUGAAAAUUUUCAGUUUGUGUGUUUCAUGGCAGAAGUGAUAUCGUCAGUCCAUUCUUGUCUUUAACUGCUAUCAUUGCAUUAAUGCUUUUGUGGCUAAUAAAUGCUUUUAAAAAUGCA